UAUAUCCAGUAUGCUUUUACUGUUAGUAAAGUCUAGUCCCUAUCGACGCACGUUGAUAUUAACAAAUGAGCAGUAAGUGAAGCAGAUUGACUAAGUGUUGAGUCUUCUUGUGUGACUAACGAUUAUUGCUAACGAGCAUGAUAAAUGCUUCAGCAAUCGUCAAUGGCUACCUUCUAUCGUACGAUACUUUUCUUUUUAUUUCGAGUUGUCAGAAAAUAAAAUAUUACAGCGUCGAUUUUUAAUCCAAAGUUAUUGCAAAGAAAAUCGUCGGAAGUAUUCGCAACAGGUUGAUGGAUCGUCAUAUCACAUGGUCGCAUGUAUGAUGCGAUUAGACUUUGAUCCCAUUUAUUGUCCUGGAAACGUUAGGGUGGAUCGAAAAUUUAACUACUUCCGGUGGAUGGACUGAUCGUUAGUAGUCGAUAAUAAUAGAUUAAUGAAAAGAAUAUUUUUACAUUGUAAAAAUAAUGUUUGCAUGUAAGAAAAAUUAAUAAACUACAGGUUGUCUUUUAAAAUCUUGUUCGAACAAGCGUAGAUGAACGUAAUGGACAUUUCUUACAUUCUACACACAUACACACACAUAUUGACACGUAAAGAUUCAGUUGACAUUGACGGUUUUAUUACUUCUCGUUGAACUUAGCUUGUUCCAGACAGGAAAACUUGUUUCUAACCACAAAGAUUCUGAUCGAUACGACAUUUCUAAGAAUAUUUAUCAUAAAUUUUAUAUAUUUGUGUACAUAUAAAAUUGAUGAUAUUCGUGAUAACUGUUUUUCAAGCAGCGAGAAUUCAAUGUGGAAAUUUACUCUCCUCCAUGUCAUUCGUUAUCUCAUUCGGUUCUAUUUAAUCAUUGUGAAUAUACGUGGUUUAUCUGGUAGGGGAACUGUGACUAGUGUCGACUGAUAGUAACGAGCUUGCUAACAAAGGCGUAAUCCUUCAGGGGGCAUCUUUAAAAUCUGCAAUAUUUUAAAUAAACGUAACCAUUUCUUUAUAUAAUAAAUUAUUUAAAAAAAAUAGAAAAAAACAACAAAAUAUUUUUCUAACACAUCAAACAACUUUUCAUUUGUGUUGUAAUAAAAAUUAAAAUUAAUUUAAGUAAAAUUUAACGGUCAUUGAUAUUUUAUUCUUCUAAACGAAUUUGAAAAAAUUAUGAUAAUUAGAUAAUAUUUAUCAUCAUAAUCAUUCUUGUUAUUACGUUUUUCGUUUCAUUCAAAAUUAUUAUAAGUCACAAGAGGAAAGAGUAAAUAAGCGAGUUCGCCGAGCAGGAAGGAACGUUAAUUAAA
rnacentral:lncRNA from 1 species